GAUGAACGCUGGCGGCGUGCCUAAUACAUGCAAGUCGAGCGAACAGACGAGAGUGCUUGCACUCUCUGACGUUAGCGGCGGACGGGUGAGUAACACGUGGGUAACCUACCUAUAAGACUGGGAUAACUUCGGGAAACCGGAGCUAAUACCGGAUAAUAUUUAGCUUCGCAUGAAGCAAUAGUGAAAGACGGUUCUGCUGUCACUUAUAGAUGGACCCGCGGUGUAUUAGCUAGUUGGUGAGGUAACGGCUCACCAAGGCAACGAUACAUAGCCGACCUGAGAGGGUGAUCGGCCACACUGGGACUGAGACACGGCCCAGACUCCUACGGGAGGCAGCAGUAGGGAAUCUUCCGCAAUGGACGAAAGUCUGACGGAGCAAUGCCGCGUGAGUGAAGAAGGUUUUCGGAUCGUAAAACUCUGUUGUAAGGGAGGAACAAGUACGUUAGUAACUGAACGUACCUUGACGGUACCUUACCAGAAAGCCACGGCUAACUACGUG
rnacentral:rRNA from 1 species